rnacentral:rRNA from 1 species
GUGAACGCUGGCGGUAGGCCUAACACCUGCAAGUCGCACGGCAGCACAGUAAGAGCUUGCUCUUACGGGUGGCGAGUGGCGGACGGGUGAGGAAUACAUCGGAAUCUACUUUUUCGUGGGGGAUAACGUAGGGAAACUUACGCUAAUACCGCAUACGACCUACGGGUGAAAGCAGGGGAUCUUCUGACCUUGCGCGAUUGAAUGAGCCGAUGUCGGAUUAGCUAGUUGGCGGGGUAAAGGCCCACCAAGGCGACGAUCCGUAGCUGGUCUGAGAGGAUGAUCAGCCACACUGGAACUGAGACACGGUCCAGACUCCUACGGGAGGCAGCAGUGGGGAAUAUUGGACAAUGGGCGCAAGCCUGAUCCAGCCAUACCGCGUGGGUGAAGAAGGCCUUCGGGUUGUAAAGCCCUUUUGUUGGGAAAGAAAAGCAGCAGGUUAAUACCCCGCUGUUCUGACGGUACCCAAAGAAUAAGCACCGGCUAACUUCGUG